rnacentral:tRNA from 3 species
CAUAGCUCAGAUGGUAGAGCGGUGGUCUUAUGAACCGCAAGUCGUGGGUUCAAAUCCCAUUG